UGAGGAAUAUUGGUCAAUGGUCGCAAGACUGAACCAGCCAAGUAGCGUAAGGGAAGACUGCCCUAUGGGUUGUAAACCUCUUUUAUCUGGGAAUAAAGUGAGCCACGUGUGGCUUAUUGCAGGUACCAGAAGAAUAAGGACCGGCUAAUUCCGUGCCAGCAGCCGCGGUAAUACGGAAGGUCCAGGCGUUAUCCGGAUUUAUUGGGUUUAAAGGGAGCGUAGGCCGCUUGGUAAGCGGGCAGUGAAAUGCAGAGGCUCAACCUCUGACUUGCUGUUCGAACUGCCAGGCUUGAGUACGCACGAGGUAGGCGGAAUUUGUGGUGUAGCGGUGAAAUGCUUAGAUAUCACAAAGAACUCCAAUUGCGAAGGCAGCUUACCGGAGCGCAACUGACGCUGAAGCUCGAAAGUGCGGGUAUCGAACA
rnacentral:rRNA from 1 species